rnacentral:rRNA from 1 species
GACGAACGCUGGCGGCGUGCCUAAUACAUGCAAGUAGAACGCUGAAGAGAGGAGCUUGCUCUUCUUGGAUGAGUUGCGAGCGGGUGAGUAACGCGUAGGUAACCUGCCUGGUAGCGGGGGAUAACUAUUGGAAACGAUAGCUAAUACCGCAUAAAAUGGAUUAUCGCAUGAUAAUCCAUUGAAAGGUGCAAAUGCAUCACUACCAGAUGGACCUGCGUUGUAUUAGCUAGUUGGUGGGGUAACGGCUCACCAAGGCGACGAUACAUAGCCGACCUGAGAGGGUGAUCGGCCACACUGGGACUGAGACACGGCCCAGACUCCUACGGGAGGCAGCAGUAGGGAAUCUUCGGCAAUGGACGGAAGUCUGACCGAGCAACGCCGCGUGAGUGAAGAAGGUUUUCGGAUCGUAAAGCUCUGUUGUAAGAGAAGAACGAGUGUGAGAGUGGAAAGUUCACACUGUGACGGUAUCUUACCAGAAAGGGACGGCUAACUACGUG